AUAUCAUUAAGCGGAGGAAAAGAAACUAACAAGGAUUCCCCCAGUAACGGCGAGUGAAGCGGGAAGAGCUCAAGCUUAAAAUCUCCAUGUUUACAUGGCGAAUUGUAGUCUAUUGAGGCUGUUAUCAGCAUAGCGAUCUGGGACAAGUCCCUUGGAAAAGGGCAGCAUGGAGGGUGAUACUCCCGUCUCUGCUCAGAUUGUCUGUGUGUACGAUACGCUUUCUUUGAGUCGAGUUGUUUGGGAAUACAGCUCAAAGUAGGUGGUAAAUUCCAUCUAAAGCUAAAUAUUGGUGCGAGACCGAUAGCGCACAAGUA
rnacentral:rRNA from 1 species